CUACGGGAGGCAGCAGUGGGGAAUAUUGGGCAAUGGAGGCAACUCUGACCCAGCCAUGCCGCGUGGGUGACGAAGGUCUUCGGAUUGUAAAGCCCUUUCGGCGGGGACGAUGAUGACGGUACCCGCAGAAGAAGCCCCGGCUAACUUCGUGCCAGCAGCCGCGGUAAUACGAAGGGGGCUAGCGUUGUUCGGAAUUACUGGGCGUAAAGGGCGCGUAGGCGGCUUGUCUAGUCGGGCGUGAAAAGCCUGGGCUUAACCCGGGAACUGCGCUCGAUACUGAUAGGCUUGAGUGUGGGAGAGGAUGGUGGAAUUCCCAGUGUAGAGGUGAAAUUCGUAGAUAUUGGGAAGAACACCGGUGGCGAAGGCGGCCAUCUGGACCACAACUGACGCUGAGGCGCGAAAGCGUGGGGAGCAAACAGGAUUAGAAACCCCGGUAGUCC
rnacentral:rRNA from 1 species